rnacentral:Y_RNA from 1 species
UGCUGGUCCAAGUGCUGUGGUGUUUACAGCUAAUUGGUCACAGCCAGUUACAGAUUUCUUUGUUCCUUCUCCACUCCCACUGCUUCCCGCUAAGCACUAC